CUGAACACUAACAUUUUUGUUUAUUGUCAUUAACAAAAGGGCAACCUGAUGCAACAGAUGGUGGGCCAACAGGAAGAGAGCUGAAUAUCGGACAAGCAUGUUUCCAUUCAGAACCGAGCAACGCUUCAAACCAGUUCAUCCCAGCCCAAUUGAUGCAGGUGAAUUCAUUCUUAAGCAGGACGACAACUAUUACUAUGCAUCCCUUGUUUAGUCUGCAAAGCUGGUACAAUGGCAGGUGCAACAUUUUGAGAUAAUUGGAUUGGACAAGCUUCUUGAUAAUAGUUCUGUAGAAUCAAUGAAUGAGGAACAUACAAUUGGUGAUUCAUUAGACGAGGCUGAGCAGGAGGAAUUGAACCAUGAGAUUGCUCUGGAGUCUACUGAAGACUGCACUGGCUCCU